UACGUAGGGGGCGAGCGUUGUCCGAAGUUACUGGGCGUAAAGCGCGCGUAGGCGGGUUGCUAAGUCUGCUGUGAAAGCCCGGGGCUCAACCCCGGAGGGUCGGUGGAUACUGGCGAUCUUGAAGAAGCUAGGGGAAGAUGGAAUUACUGGUGUAGCGGUGAAAUGCGUAGAUAUCAGUAGGAACACCAGUGGCGAAGGCGGUCUUCUGGGGCUAUCUUGACGCUGAGGCGCGAAAGCUGGGGGAGCGAACGGG
rnacentral:rRNA from 1 species